UCCAUAUUAUUCAACUGUGUUUGUUUACAACAGGUAGUGAUGUCUCUGCUCUGAGAGAAAUACCCAGAGAGGAAGGUGCUGUUGUGGCAGUAUGUGACUGAUCAUUGAUCAAACAAACCCAACCCAGGCGUUUCUGUAUGGUUUGACAUGAAGCAAGCUUUGUUCACUUACUGUUGAACAUUGCAAAAUGAAGAUGAGUCAUAAUCACAUGACUACACAUGAACAGUCAAAUGCAUUUCAUUUCAACAUCAUUACAUGUUCCAAGAUAAUACAUGUGACUAAAUGUCUCAAUAUACCAACAAUUAGUACACAGACUUAUACAUUUCAUGAAUGUCGUAUUCACAUGUUAUGAAUACAUAAACUGCUGUGAAAUGGUGGAACAUACAAAUAAACACUGUCAAAUGAGCCAGGCCCAGCUCCACUCGUUAUUAACCCCUGGAUUACAAUAGGUAAACACAGGCCCAGCUCCACUCGUUAUUAACCCCUGGAUUACAAUAGGUAAACACAGGCCCAGCUCCACUCGUUAUUAACCCCUGGAUUACAAUAGGUAAACACAGGCCCAGCUCCACUCGUUAUUAACCCCUGGAUUACAAUAGGUAAACACAGGCCCAGCUCCACUCGUUAUUAACCCCUGGAUUACAAUAGGUAAACACAGGCCCAGCUCCACUCGUUAUUAACCCCUGGAUUACAAUAGGUAAACACAGGCCCAGCUCCACUCGUUAUUAACCCCUGGAUUACAAUAGGUAAACACAGGCCCAGCUCCACUCGUUAUUAACCCCUGGAUUACAAUAGGUAAACACAGGCCCAGCUCCACUCGUUAUUAACCCCUGGAUUACAAUAGGUAAACACAGGCCCAGCUCCACUCGUUAUUAACCCCUGGAUUACAAUAGGUAAACACAGGCCCAGCUCCACUCGUUAUUAACCCCUGGAUUACAAUAGGUAAACACAGGCCCAGCUCCACUCGUUAUUAACCCCUGGAUUACAAUAGGUAAACACAGGCCCAGCUCCACUCGUUAUUAACCCCUGGAUUACAAUAGGUAAACACAGGCCCAGCUCCACUCGUUAUUAACCCCUGGAUUACAAUAGGUAAACACAGGCCCAGCUCCACUCGUUAUUAACCCCUGGAUUACAAUAGGUAAACACAGGCCCAGCUCCACUCGUUAUUAACCCCUGGAUUACAAUAGGUAAACACAGGCCCAGCUCCACUCGUUAUUAACCCCUGGAUUACAAUAGGUAAACACAGGCCCAGCUCCACUCGUUAUUAACCCCUGGAUUACAAUAGCUAAACACAGGCCCAGCUCCACUCGUUAUUAACCCCUGGAUUACAAUAGCUAAACACAGGCCCAGCUCCACUCGUUAUUAACCCCUGGAUUACAAUAGGUAAACACAGGCCCAGCUC